UAUAUGCCAUAUGGAAAAAAGAUAUUCUUCUAAUAAUUUAUUGUUUCAAUGGUGAGGAACAUAUUUUCACCAUUCAGUGGGUUAACCUUAGUUUAAGGCAAAACUAACAGAUGCACUAUAAAACAGGAAAUCCACAAAACUAUUCCAUACUUGAAGGUUUAUUCUCCAACAUAAGUACAUUACAAGUUCUAAUUAAAACCCCUAUAAAUAGACUAGGCCAUGACCAUUAAAAAAUUGUCCAAGGAAACAUUUUAAAAAUCAAAAUAUAAUAAAUUUUUAAAAAACAAAUAUGGAGGGGAAAAAGCUUGUUGCUGUAUUUCUGAUGUGCAUGGUUGUGUUAACAACAAUGUCAGAAGCCACAGAGGAAGAAUACAGGGAUUGCUACCAUACAUGUCACAAACAAUGCUCUGAAGAUGGCCAUGGUUAUACCUUUUGUGAGAUGAAGUGUGACACAGACUGCUCCAGGAAGGAUAUCGUAGCUCAAUUCCCUAAAUUCAAGGGUUAAUGUGGAGGACCAAAAAGAUACAAGAGAUGAGCAAACAGGGCUGAAGCAUAAAUCAGUGUAAUUGUAUUAGUAUAUUUCUACUAAAUAUUUCAUCAAUUUAUUUUCCACUGCUGAUUGUAAUUUUCAAAAUUAAUAAAUAAUUCAUUCAUCUCUUAA